rnacentral:rRNA from 1 species
CUUGACAUCCAGAGAACUUUCCAGAGAUGGAUUGGUGCCUUCGGGAACUCUGAGACAGGUGCUGCAUGGCUGUCGUCAGCUCGUGUUGUGAAAUGUUGGGUUAAGUCCGCAACGAGCGCAACCCCUAUCCUUUGUUGCCAGCGAUUCGGUCGGGAACUCAAAGGAGACUGCCGGUGAUAAACCGGAGGAAGGUGGGGAUGACGUCAAGUCAUCAUGGCCCUUACGAGUAGGGCUACACACGUGCUACAAUGGCGUAUACAAAGAGAAGCGACCUCGCGAGAGCAAGCGGACCUCAUAAAGUACGUCGUAGUCCGGAUUGGAGUCUGCAACUCGACUCCAUGAAGUCGGAAUCGCUAGUAAUCGUAGAUCAGAAUGCUACGGUGAAUACGUUCCCGGGCCUUGUACACACCGCCCGUCACACCAUGGGAGUGGGUUGCAAAAGAAGUAGAUAGCUUAACCUUCGGGAGGGCGUUUACCACUUUGUGAUUCAUGACUGGGGUGAAGUCGUAACAAGGUAGGCGUAGCGAG